GCUUGGGUGGCUCAGUCGGUUGAGCAUCCGACUUCGGCUCAGGUCAUGAUCUCACAGUUUGUGGGUUCAAGCCCCGCAUCAGGCU
rnacentral:tRNA from 1 species